rnacentral:rRNA from 1 species
ACACACAGCCAUAUCACGCUGUAGCCCAAGACUGGUCAUCCACUGAAGCUAAGCAGGGUUGAGCUGGUCAGUACCUGGAUGGAAGAGAAGAGCAUAACUGCAGCCUGGA